GGAAUCUUCCACAAUGGACGCAAGUCUGAUGGAGCAACGCCGCGUGAGUGAAGAAGGUUUUCGGAUCGUAAAGCUCUGUUGUUGGUGAAGAAGGAUAGAGGUAGUAACUGGCCUUUAUUUGACGGUAAUCAACCAGAAAGUCACGGCUAACUACGUGCCAGCAGCCGCGGUAAUACGUAGGUGGCAAGCGUUGUCCGGAUUUAUUGGGCGUAAAGCGAGCGCAGGCGGAAGAAUAAGUCUGAUGUGAAAGCCCUCGGCUUAACCGAGGAAUUGCAUCGGAAACUGUUUUCUUGAGUGCAGAAGAGGAGAGUGGAACUCCAUGUGUAGCGGUGGAAUGCGUAGAUAUAUGGAAGAACACCAGUGGCGAAGGCGGCUCUCUGGUCUGCAACUGACGCUGAGGCUCGAAAGCAUGGGUAGCGAACAGGAUUAGAUACCCUGGUAGUCCAUGCCGUAAACGAUGAGUGCUAAGUGUUGGGAGGUUUCCGCCUCUCAGUGCUGCAGCUAACGCAUUAAGCACUCCGCCUGGGGGAGUACGACCGCAAGGUUGAAAC
rnacentral:rRNA from 1 species